GAUGAAGAACGCAGCGAAAUGCGAUACUUGGUGUGAAUUGCAGAAUCCCGUGAACCAUCGAGUCUUUGAACGCAAGUUGCGCCCGAAGCCUUCUGGCCGAGGGCACGUCUGCCUGGGCGUCACGCAUCGCGUCUCCCCCCAACCCACCUAGUUAUAGGUAGGAUGUGGGGGAGGAGGAUGGCUUCCCGCGCCUCACCGGGCGUGGAUGGCCUAAAUUUGGAGCCCGCGGCACUUAGCUCUCGUGGCGAUAGGUGGUGAACAAGGCCUUGGCCGUGCAAACAACCUGCUGCGAAUCUCUAUGUCAUGUGCGCUCGUCGGACCCUUUGAAGUUGCCUUCGGUGACUUAAAACCUUUGCGACCCCAGGUCAGGCGGGGCUACCCGCUGAAUUUAAGCAUAUCAAUAAGCGGAGGA
rnacentral:misc_RNA from 1 species